rnacentral:rRNA from 1 species
CGGGGUGAGUAACGCGUGGAUAACCUGCCUCACACUGGGGGAUAACAGUUAGAAAUGACUGCUAAUACCGCAUAAGCGCACAGUACCGCAUGGUACAGUGUGAAAAACUACCGGUGGUGUGAGAUGGAUCCGCGUCUGAUUAGCCAGUUGGCGGGGUAACGGCCCACCAAAGCGACGAUCAGUAGCCGACCUGAGAGGGUGACCGGCCACAUUGGGACUGAGACACGGCCCAA